UACGUAGGGAGCAAGCGUUGUCCGGAAUCAUUGGGCGUAAAGCGCGCGUAGGUGGCUCUAUAAGUCCGUUGUGAAAGUCAAAGGCUCAACCUUUGAAAGCCGAUGGAUACUGUAGAGCUAGAGUCCGGAAGAGGCGAGUGGAAUUCCUGGUGUAGCGGUGGAAUGCGCAGAUAUCAGGAGGAACACCAAUAGCGAAGGCAGCUCGCUGGGACGGUACUGACACUAAGGCGCGAAAGCGUGGGGAGCGAACAGGA
rnacentral:rRNA from 1 species